rnacentral:rRNA from 1 species
UACGUAGGGUGCGAGCGUUGUCCGGAAUUAUUGGGCGUAAAGGGCUCGUAGGCGGUUUGUCGCGUCGGGAGUGAAAACCUUGGGCUUAACUCAGGGCUUGCUUUCGAUACGGGCAGACUAGAGGUAUGCAGGGGAGAACGGAAUUCCUGGUGUAGCGGUGAAAUGCGCAGAUACCAGGAGGAACACCGGUGGCGAAGGCGGUUCUCUGGGCAUGAUCUGACGCUGAGGAGCGAAAGCGUGGGGAGCAAACAGG